CUGGGAAUCUGACAGUCCUUUCCACGUGCAGGCACGCUCCUGUGGGACGGGAGGAUGCGUGGGCUGCCACCAGCCCCCGCGUUCAACUCUGAUGUGGAGAGCCGGGAAUCAAUCACUUUGAUGUCUUGUCUUAUCCCCACAGAUAGAUAAGGGGAGCGUGUGCAGUGGCUGCUGCAGCACCACUUCAGCAGGCCCUUUUGAAGUGCUGGAGCAGCGCUUUAGCAGCUGUUGUGAGAGCGGAAGAGCUGACACCGAUGCGGCUUUGGGACACGGCCACCAGGCGCAGCGGUGGCCAGAACAAAGAUAUCCUGAUCCACAGCUGGGACUCUCUCAAGCGCUGUAGGAACUCAGAUGAUGAAUAGAAGGAUAGUAAUUUAGAGCUCGCUGCUUCUAAGUUGUGCAGGGCUGAGGAUAAAAGUCAGCUUAGUUUCUUUCAAAAAACUGUGCUUCAUGCAUCAGAU
rnacentral:lncRNA from 1 species